GACGAACGCUGGCGGCGUGCUUAACACAUGCAAGUCGAACGGAAAGGCCCUGCUUGCAGGGUGCUCGAGUGGCGAACGGGUGAGUAACACGUGGGUGAUCUGCCCCUUACUUUGGGAUAAGCCUGGGAAACUGGGUCUAAUACUGGAUAGGACCAUGCUGUAGGUGGUGUGGUGGAAAGAUUAGUUUCGGUAAGGGAUGAGCUCGCGGCCUAUCAGCUUGUUGGUGUGGUAAUGGCCUACCAAGGCGUCGACGGGUAGCCGGCCUGAGAGGGUGGACGGCCACAUUGGGACUGAGAUACGGCCCAGACUCCUACGGGGGGCAGCAGUGGGGAAUAUUGCACAAUGUGCGCAAGCCUGAUGCAGCGACGCCGCGUGGGGGAUGACGGCCUUCGGGUUGUAAACUCCUUUCAGCCAUGACGAAGCCUUCGGGUGACGGUAGUGGUAGAAGAAGCACCGGCUAACUACGUG
rnacentral:rRNA from 1 species